CUUUCCAACUUACUUCAACACUUUCGAAAUCUAUAGUUAGGCUGUUUCCUCUUCGAGACUGGGAGCAGUAUAAUUGAAAAUAGAAUAAGACCACUUUGUAUUUAGAUCAUAAUGAAGAAACCCUGCUGAUUUGAAUUUAAUUAACUUCCUUGAUGCAAUCCUGACUGGUAUCCAUAACAAGCUCUAAAUAUCAAAAUUAUUAGAUCUUGUAUUUGUCGUUUAUCCUCCACUGUUAUUGUAAACAUUCGUAAUAUCAUGAUCACUUGGUUUUGGGAUUUCACCUCCACUAGUCAGUGAUU